UGGGGAAUCUUGCACAAUGGGCGAAAGCCUGAUGCAGCAACGCCGCGUGCGGGAAGACAGCCCUAGGGUUGUAAACCGCUUUCAGCAGGGAAGAAACUGACGGUACCUGCAGAAGAAGAUGCGGCCAACUACGUGCCAGCAGCCGCGGUGACACGUAGGCAUCAAGCGUUAUCCGGAUUUAUUGGGCGUAAAGAGCUCGUAGGCGGUUCGGUAAGUCGGGUGUGAAAACUCUGGGCUCAACCCAGAGAGGCCACUCGAUACUGCUGUGACUAGAGUGCGGUAGGGGAGCGGGGAAUUCCUGGUGUAGCGGUGAAAUGCGCAGAUAUCAGGAGGGAACACCAGUGGCGAAGGCGCCGCUCUGGGCCGUAACUGACGCUGAGGAGCGAAAGCAU
rnacentral:rRNA from 1 species